GGAAUGUGGGUGAUCAACUUAUAAUAGUUUGUUAACUAGGAAAUAUAGUCUUGUUGUUGUCAUAGUCUUUGUAAGAAUAUCCGCAAUCUGAUCUUGAGAUGCCAUGUGUGGGAGAUAAAUAAUAUUAGUUUCUUAAAAAUAUCCGCUAUCUAAUCCUGAGAUGCCACGUGUGGGAGGGAAAUAAUCUUAGACGAAAACUUCUCUUGAAUGAAGGGACAAUCAACCCCAAUAUUGUCCUCUUGUAAAAGACAUGUUUAGAAGUAAUCUGGACAAUGCUGGUGUUAUCUACAUGAAGCGGAGUCAUGGUAGUAAUAUCAAUCUCAAAAUAAAAAAAGGUCUCAUAAACAAAUGAUCUCAAUACAGCAGAGACACAACUCGAUACUUAGCCUUCGUGGUGAACUUGGAGAUCGUUUGUUGCUUCUUAGGCUUUCAAGAUAAAAGUGAAGUGCUAAGAAUCAUAGAAUACCUUGUAGUAGAUCUACGGGUGAGAGCACAUUCAACACAAUCACUACAGGCAGAAGACUUAGCUCGAUACUUAGCCUCCAUGCUUGACUUAGAGACCGUUGGUUGCUUCUUACGCUUCCAAGAUAUAAUGAAGUGCUAUGAAACAUACAAUGCCCUAUAGUAGAUCCAUGGGUGAGGGCACAUUCAACCCAAUCAACAUCGGCAUGGGCAACAAGCUCAAGGGAGAUAUAGAUGAAAAGAACAAUGACUGAUAUGAGCAUGCAAGGUAUGUGACUCGACAACAAUCUAACUAACAACCUAUACCGCAUAGGUGAUAUCUGGUUUGAUCAUCAUCUUGCAUCUUGACUGUCCUUUGAUUAGAAAGAUGCAUGGGGUCGAUGAGAUCCUGGGUAUAUUUUUGUUGGCUAACAAGUAUACCACGAUUUGUAUGAGAAACCUCCAAUCCAAGGAAGUGCAUGUAAGUUGCCCCUAAUCCUUGUGUAGUAGGAUGACUAAAGAGCCUGUUGAAGAUAUGUGAUUCUAAUUAUGUAAACUUGAUCAAGAGCAAAUUGUCAACAUAAACUAGUAAAACUUCAAUGCCACGGGAUGAAGACCAAGUGAAUAAGGAGGAAUCAUGACCACUCUGUCUAAACCCAACCCUAAUCACAACCUCGUGGGACUGUUGAAACCAAGCACGAGGUGCUUAUUUUAGCCCAUAUAAUACUUUACGAAGUCUGCACACCAAAUCUUUAUGACCCGUGUUGGAAUCAGGAUGCUAAGCAAUGUACACGGUUUCUUGUAAAUUCCCAUGAAGAAAUGGAUUCUUCAUGGCCAUCUGUCGAAUAGACCAAUCACGAGUGGCAACAAUGGCAAUAAGCAUCUAAAUAACCUUCAUCUUGGCCAUUAGUGCAAUGGUCUCCUCAUAGUCAAUGCCAUAGUUCUGCUUGUAGCCUUGGGCCAUGAGAUUUAGUUCUGCUUGUAGCCUUGGGCCACGAGAUGAACCUUGUACCGAUCAGGGGAUUCGUUUGACUUUAGCUUUAUAGAAUACGUCCACUUACUACCAAUCACCUGCUAACCUGGUGUGCGAAGAACAAGGUCCCAUAUGUGAUUAUCUGCUAAUGCCUGUAACUUUUCUGCCAUAGCAUCCCUCCAACAUUGAUGUUUAGAAGCCUAAAAAUAAGAGGUAGGAACAAAAAUGGAAUCAAUUCCAGAAAACAUACAACAAAUGAGUCAAUUGGGAGGUUGGGAUUUGUGGGUAGAUCGAUGUACCUCUUGAAGGGAUGGAUCAAUUGCAGGUUGAGCCAUAGGAGGAGGGGGAGGCACUUCUCUCACUUGUCAUUGAUAAACCUGCAAAGGAGUUUCAGUCGCAUUUGCAAUAAGAGGGAUAUCAGGAAACUAGGUUAAUCCAUUAGAGACAAUAGAAUGAGCAAUUGAAUUUUGUGAGAGUUGAGCAUGAAAUGGAACAUUUUGUAAGAAAGCAACAUUCAUCGAACUCUACGAGCAUUGGAGUCAUAGCAACGAUAGCCUUUUUGAGUGUCUCCGAACUGGAAAUACAUAUAUAGCAAGUAGACUUUGGAGAUGGUUUAUUACAUUCAUGUGGGUAAAGAUGAACAUAACAAACACAUCCAAAUAUGCAAAAUAAUGAGUAAGGAGGAAGAGAACCGAAGAUAACAAAAGUAAGGAUAAAUACUGCCAAGAAGUUUGGUCAGCAUGUGGUUUAUGAGAUAGACAAUGUAAAAUUGUCUCAGCCCAGAAUGUAUGUGGAACAAAGGUAUCUACCAUCAUGGUGUUGGUUGUCUUGAUAAUGUGUCGAUUCUUGCUAAAUCUUUCAUUUAAUAAUACUAUAGUGUUGGGGUGUAUCGGGACAAAUAUUUUGAUAAAUAAUCCCAUGAUCAUGUAGAUAUGCCUUGAACUUCAGAGAGAUGUAUGCCCCUCCUCAAUCUGAGCGGAUAACCUUAAUCUUUUUCUCAAACUGUAUGGCCAUCGUAGUUGUAGAACUGUCGAAAUAUUGUGAAUACCCAGGACUUGGAGUGUAAAAAAUAUAUUCAUGUAUAUCUAAAGAAUUCAUUUAUCAAUGUCACAUGAUACUCUGCAUGCCAGACAUGGACUAAACCGAGGAUGGCCCCCAAACAUCAGUAUGCGCAAUCUUAAAAGGGGCAGUAGAUUAAGAAGUACUAGGAGAAAAAUGCUUACAUUUACUUUUAGAUAAACAAAAUCAAGAACAGGAGAUAUCAAGCGAAGAUUUAUUAACUUUCAGUUUGCCCAAAAUACCAGAAGAAAAACAAAUGUGAUAGUUGAUUAGGGUGUAAAUGACCAAUGUGGCCGUGUCAAAGUUUCCACACUUUAUUGCAUGAUUAAUAUCAUGAGAAGGAGAAACGAAACGAGAAGUUGGUGUAACUGAGUUUCGAAAUCCAACAAGAUGAGCCGUCCCUUCCUCCUACCCUUCCCAACUACUUUGCCCGUUGUAGGAUAUUGUACGAAACAACAAUCGGGAAAUAAAAUUAGUAAGCACUGGUUCUAGACUAACUAACCACAGAUAUAAGAUUUACAGACAAUUUAGGUACAUGAAAGACAUUAGUGAGAGUAAAUGUACAAUGCUAAGAAUGGGAGAAAGAUAACGAUCCAACAAAUAAAAUAUGUAGUUGGAGCUCUAUCUACGAUAGAUAUGACUAAGUUACUCUUGGAUGGCUUCACAUUGUUGAGAUGAGAUUCAUUACUUGUCACAUGGUUGGACGCAUCCGGAAUUAAAAUACCAAGGAAACUAAAGGGAUGUAGCUAACAAUCCGGCCAUCGGAAAGGCUUGGUGAUUUACAGAAUCAUUUUAGGAGUAAUUGGACUAGUAGGAGUAGCCAUGGCACUUGUAGACGAGUCAUUGGUUGCGGUCAUAUAGGCUCUUCCUCUGGCAUUCUUCUUCUUCGUGCACUCUUGGAUGUUGUGUCUACGAAAUUGCAAAACUCAUAGAGAGGACUGUCUUUGCAAGUUGUAGCAAGAUGGCCAAACUUCUUACACCUAUAACACUAUGUGAGACAUGUCAGGUUUCCAAGGUGCUGGUGAAAAGGCUAAAAUAACUGUAUCCGAGGUGCCAAGAAGUUGGGGUACACCAGUUAGAGUCUUGAGUAUUUGCUCUUUUGCUAAUAAGUCACUUAUCACCACACUUAUGGCGGGAAAAGGACUAUAGUUAAGUAAAGUAGCCGACAAUGCUCAAAAUUAGGAUGCAAUUUCAUAAGAAACUGCCUAACAUGGGUUCUCUCUCACACAUUCUGAAAAAUGGAGAUAACAUCUAUUAAAAAUUUAAGAUCCAUCAUCGACAUCUAAGUCCAAAUAGCCACUAUUGCAUUAUAAAAUUUCUAAAUCGUUCGAUCUCUCUGUGUGAUCUGAGCCAAUUCUUGUUCUAGUCAAUAUAACUGAUAUUCAUUGCUUUGUUAAUAGAUAAUUUUCAGAUAAUCCUACAUAUCCUUCUUUGUCCUAUAAGGAGUUAGGCCAACAACAAUUGUUUUGUCAACCGAGUCUAAAAUUCAUGUGACAAAUUUUCUAUUUUUAAAUUUUCCACACAGUCAGUUCUUUGGGUUGAUCUAUUUUGGGAAAGGGAUUGGUUCUAUCAACCAUACACUAGAAUCCUCGCCUUCAAGAAUUCUUGAAAUGAAUGGACCAAAGUCCAUAAUUGUUGCCAUCAAACAUGCAACGUGAAGAAAAAGUCUCUAUCCAUGAUAUUGGGUGACGACAAUCUAUAAAUUCAACUCAAAAGUGGCAUAAUGUUGGGUAUAUCUUGACUCAUGGAUUGGAUCUGGGAUGGGUGUGCUGAAAACGGAUUGCGAAAAGUUGCAAGGAAGACUAAUGGUGGGUUAGCGGCUUAGAUUUGAAGUGCUUGGUGGGAAGUAGGAGCUGGAGUUGAGCAACAACAACAUGGCUGCGUUGGCGAACAACGGCGCUAGAGACGAGGCAAGUGCUGCAUGAAGAUCACCCGUUGCUACAGCGGCCGCGAUGGUGGAACUAGAACCGAGAGAUGCUGCAAACAUAUAGGGUCUUGCAACAUCUGGAAUGUUUGGAACUGGGAGAUCGCUGCGAAUGUCUGGAAUUGGGAGAUCUCUGGAAUCAGUUGUAGCGUCCGGAAGGUGAGGCAGUGGUAAUGUUGAUCCGGCAGACAGUGAUGGGGUUACAGUGAUGUGCUGCUGCCAAUGGAUAUUCUCGGCUGCCAUUUGUGACUGGGUUGCUAGAGUUGCAAAGAGAUGUAGGGUUCGGGGUGGAAGAGUGGCUGCAAGGUGGUAGGUUUGGCUGGUGCGAUGGAGGUGAUGCCCAUCACUAUUGUUGCGGCGACGAUGACGAAUGGCAGCUGCUUCGGUAGAAGGGCCAGCAAUUGAGUAGAUCAGCCUCUGCGGGUAGCAACGGUGUUGUGACAGAAAUGAAAAGAGGAAGAUGACAGUGGUUCCUCUAAUUGGUGGUCAGAAUAGCUGCUGCUUUGGUAGAAGGGGCAGCAAUUGAGUAGAUCAGCCUCUGUGGGUGGCAACGGUGUUGUGACAGAAAUGAAAAGAGGAAGAUGACAGUGGUUCCUCUAAUUGGUGGUUAGAAUGGCAGCUGCUUCGGUAGAAGGAGCAACAAUUGAGUAGAUCAGCCUCUGCGGUAGCAACAGUGUUGUGACAGAAAUGAAAAAAGGAAGAUGACAAUGGUUCCUCUAAUUGGUGAUCAGAAUGGCAGCUGCUUCUGUUAGAUCGAUGGCCUAGAUUUGCUCUGAUACUAUGAUAACAGAAAAGAAGUCUUGGAAAAUUCUCUAGUUAGCUAUGUACAUUGCUUUACCCCAAUAGGGUUUAAAUAGAGAUAUAUAAUGAUAUGCAAGGAAGUAAAUCUAUUGCGCUA